GCAGAAGCGCGGUCUGUCGCUUGUCGUGAGACAAGAGGAAAGUCCGGGCAACCCAGGGCAGCAUGUUUCCUAACGGGAAGCCGGCGGCGACGCCGGGGAUAAGUGACAGAAAACAACCGCCACUGUUCUCCUUCAUGAGAUGUGGUAAGGGUGAAAAGGCGGGGUAAGAGCCCACCGGGCCGUAUGGCGACAUGCGGCGCCGCACAUCCCAUGUGUUGCAAAGCCAAAUAUACCGGCAGCUAAGGAUGGCCCGUCCAUUGCCGGGGGGUAGGCUGCUGAAGCCCACGGGCAACCGUGCGGCUUAGAUAAAUGACAGACGCCAGCUCUCUGAGCGGGCACAUAACCCGGCUUAUAACGCUUCUGCCCUU
rnacentral:RNase_P_RNA from 1 species